GAUCAGGCUCAGGAUGAACGCUAGCUACAGGCUUAACACAUGCAAGUCGAGGGGCAGCAUGAACUUAGCUUGCUAAGUUUGAUGGCGACCGGCGCACGGGUGAGUAACACGUAUCCAACCCUCCGUUUACUCAGGGAUAGCCUUUCGAAAGAAAGAUUAAUACCUGAUAGUAUGGUGAGAUUGCAUGAUAGCACCAUUAAAGAUUUAUUGGUAAACGAUGGGGAUGCGUUCCAUUAGG
rnacentral:rRNA from 1 species